rnacentral:tRNA from 1 species
GGGGGUAUAGCUCAGAUGGUUAGAGUGCUGGCCUGUCACGUCAGAAGUCACGGGUUCGAUCCCCGUUAUCCCCG